rnacentral:tRNA from 1 species
AAGGAUAAUUUUGAUAGAAUUAAUCAUGUGUAUUACACCUUCAUAACAGGGAAUUUCAAUUAU